UGCGUAAUAGCUCACUGGUCGAGUGAAGUUGCGCGGAAAAUUACCGGGGCUAAGUUAUCCACCGAAAUUGCGGAUUUGUUAUAGAAAUAUAACAAGUGGUAGAGGAGCAUUCUAUUGUAGGAAGAAGCUAAAGCGAAAGCAUUAGUGGACGAAGUAGAAGAGAGAAUGCUGGAAUAAGUAGCGAGAGCAAGGUGAGAAUCCUUGCCGUCGAAAGUCUAAGGUUUCCUAGGGAAGGUUCGUCCGCCUAGGGUAAGUCGGGACCUAAGGAGAGGCCGAAAGGCGUAUCUGAUGGACAGCAGGUAGAAAUUCCUGCACUAUAUAAUUUUUAGAAACUAUAAGGGACGCAGAAGUGGAAGGUAAGCGAGGAAGAGGAAAGACUCGUACCGAAAGGGAUAGUGAAAAUAAAGUAACGAAGUACCAAGAAGCACGCUGACGAGAAAAGCUUAUAGAAAUUGAAUUAUAUACCCGUACCGCAAACCGACACAGGUAGAUGAGGAGAAGAUCCUAAGACGAUCGGGAGAAGCAUUGUUAAGGAACUCGGCAAACUGACCCCGUAACUUAGGGAGAAGGGGUACCUAGAUAAAACUAGGUCGCAGAGAAUAGUCCCAAGCAACUGUUUAACAAAAACAUAGGUUUCUGCCAAAUCGAAAGAUGAAGUAUAGGAGCUGACACCUGCCCAGUGCUGGAAGGUUAAGGGAAAAUGUUAGUAGUAAUACGAAGCAUAGAACCAAAGCCCCAGUGAACGGCGGCCGUAACUAUAACGGUCCUAAGGUAGCGAAAUUCCUUGUCAGGUAAGUUCUGACCCGCACGAAAGGUGUAAUGAUUUGGGAGCUGUCUCGACAAUGUCCCCGGCGAAAUUGUAGUACUAGUGAAGAUGCUAGUUACCUGCGAUAAGACAGAAAGACCCCAUGGAGCUUUACUGCAGUUUGAUACUGAGUUUGGUUAAUUUAUGUACAGGAUAGGUAGGAGACAGAGAAGCUUAGGCGCCAGCUUAAGCGGAGUCAACGUUGGGAUACUACCCUUAAAUUAACUAAAAUCUAACUUGUAAUCAUAAGCUGGUUAAAGGACAAUGUCAGACGGGCAGUUUGACUGGGGCGGUCGCCUCCAAAAGAGUAACGGAGGCGCCCAAAGGUUCCCUCAGCGCGGACAGAAAUCGCGCGAAAGAGUGUAAAGGCAGAAGGGAGCUUAACUGGGAGACUGACAAGUCGAGCAGAUACGAAAGUAGGGCUUAGUGAUCCGGUGGUAUGUAAGUGGAAAUGCCAUCGCUCAACGGACAAAAGUUACCCUGGGGAUAACAGGCUUAUCUCCCCCAAGAGUUCACAUCGACGGGGAGGUUUGGCACCUCGAUGUCGGCUCAUCGCAUCCUGGAGCUGUAGUCGGUUCCAAGGGUUGGGCUGUUCGCCCAUUAAAGCGGUACGCGAGCUGGGUUCAGAACGUCGUGAGACAGUUCGGUCCUUAUCUAUCGCAGGCGUAGGAUAUUUGAGGAGAGCUGUCCCUAGUACGAGAGGACCAGGAUGGACAUACAGAUGGUGCAACAGUUGUUCUACCAAGAGCAUAGCUGUGUAGCCAAGUAUGGAAGGGAUAAACGCUGAAAGCAUCUAAGUGUGAAGCCCACUCCAAGAUAAGAUAUCCCAUAUCGAAAGAUAGU
rnacentral:rRNA from 1 species